CUUAAAGGUACUGAUAUCGGCCCACUUAAUUUAGCUGUUUAUUUUGUUACUUCCUACUUUCUCUAUAAUAUUGUCUUACUUGUCCGUACAUUACAAAGGCACACUGGAAACUAAGCUGAGGAAAAUUACACCCAUUUUCUGACCUGCUUGCUAAUACGAUGUUUACAUCGCUGACGUAAUGAGCAAACCCAUUAUCAUGAGCUUCAGCUGUUUACAACAGGUCUGAACUUUAUCGUUUUCUUUUUUGUAGCUCUGGCUGUGCAGAUUAAUGUAAUGAUGUAAGGUGUGUCAGAUGGCUUCCUUCUGCAGGCAGAGAACACCUCUGCAGCCGCUGUUAGCGCAGGCCUCCGGAGGUGCCUCACUGAAGGGACGUUCUCAUUUUGUGGUGUGGAAGAGAAUCCACAUUAACAGGCAGUUACAAAUAACGGCUGUGACGGAGGAGCAAAACCUUUCCCAACAGCAGCAGUGCAUGUGGGUAGUGUGCACUCAGCAAGGAGAUGCAGCAUACCUGAAGUCUUGGAGCAGUGCUUUUAGGUAACAUUGCUGUUCUCUUGUCUCUCAUAUCUUUGUGCUAACCAUAUUUACAUUAAUUUUGUGUUCUUUUCCUUCGUGUUAUAAAGCCUCUUUU
rnacentral:lncRNA from 1 species